ACAGAAUCCCUCUUCGAACUGGGCACCGUCGCCGCCCCACCAGGCCAGAAGUCCCCUCAAAUAUCUUCCGACGGAGGGACAUGCCGGACAGGGCCACCCAGUGCCAGGUGCGGCGAGCUUCCCGGAAGAACUGGGUUUAGGCCGAGAACCUGACUCGGAGGACAAAAGAGGGUUAUAGUCGAAGUUGUGUGGCUGCGAGAACCUGGGAUGGCAGUGCCGGCAGCCCUGGUCAGCUCCUCUUCGCCGUCGUCGACAUCGCUGAUCGGGCUCUGCCGGUUCUCCUCCGCAAGGCCGUCCUCCGCUUUGACUCGACCCAUCGUCGCGUUUGGUCGCCCUUCUUUCCCAUCUGGUUCUUCCAGUUCUGCUUCUUUCGCCGUUCCCUCCUCUCCCUUCACGGAGAGCAACUCUCUAGAGAGGCACCAACGGGACUCCUGGCUCUACAAGGGUGCUACCCCUCCUCUUCCUGCCCCUCCUCUCGACCCUCUGUCCUCCGGCAACGACGAAGGGAGCGCCGGCGACGGCAGGGAGGACGACAUCGCCCUGCAGCUGCCCGAGCUCAGGAGAUUGCUGGAGCUGCUGCGGGAGAAGAGUGGAAAUGAUGCCAGCGGGUCGCCGGUGGGCACUGUGGCACUGGUGGGGACAGGGCCUGGCGAUCCUGAGCUUCUGACGCUCAAGGCGGUUCGCGCCAUCGAGGGCGCCGAUCUCAUCCUCUACGACCGCCUCGUUUCCC
rnacentral:lncRNA from 1 species